CGGACGGGUGAGUAACACGUGGAUAACCUACCUAUAAGACUGGGAUAACUUCGGGAAACCGGAGCUAAUACCGGAUAAUAUUUUGAACCGCAUGGUUCAAAAGUGAAAGACGGUCUUGCUGUCACUUAUAGAUGGAUCCGCGCUGCAUUAGCUAGUUGGUAAGGUAACGGCUUACCAAGGCAACAUGCAUAGCCGACCUGAGAGGGUGAUCGGCCACACUGGAACUGAGACACGGUCCAG
rnacentral:rRNA from 1 species